UAUAUUCUGUAGCAAGGUUAACCGUAUAGGGGAGCCGUAGGGAAACCGAGUCUUAACCGGGCGUUAAGUUGCAGGGUAUAGACCCGAAACCCGGUGAUCUAGCCAUGGGCAGGUUGAAGGUUGGGUAACACUAACUGGAGGACCGAACCGACUAAUGUUGAAAAAUUAGCGGAUGACCUGUGGCUGGGGGUGAAAGGCCAAUCAAACCGGGAGAUAGCUGGUUCUCCCCGAAAGCUAUUUAGGUAGCGCCUCGUGAAUUCAUCUCCGGGGGUAGAGCACUGUUUCGGCUAGGGGGCCAUCCCGGCUUACCAACCCGAUGCAAACUGCGAAUACCGGAGAAUGUUAUCACGGGAGACACACGGCGGGUGCUAACGUCCGUCGUGAAGAGGGAAACAACCCAGACCGCCAGCUAAGGUCCCAAAGUCAUGGUUAAGUGGGAAACGAUGUGGGAAGGCCCAGACAGCCAGGAUGUUGGCUUAGAAGCAGCCAUCAUUUAAAGAAAGCGUAAUAGCUCACUGGUCGAGUCGGCCUGCGCGGAAGAUGUAACGGGGCUAAACCAUGCAC
rnacentral:rRNA from 1 species